ensembl:miRNA
GUACUGAAACUGUGCUCGUGGUGUGUGCUGUACAGCACGUGGGCUAGUUUCAGAC